UACGUAGGGUGCAAGCGUUGUCCGGAAUUAUUGGGCGUAAAGAGCUCGUAGGCGGCUUGUCACGUCGGGUGUGAAAGCCCGGGGCUUAACCCCGGGCCUGCAUUCGAUACGGGCUAGCUAGAGUGUGGUAGGGGAGAUCGGAAUUCCUGGUGUAGCGGUGAAAUGCGCAGAUAUCAGGAGGAACACCGGUGGCGAAGGCGGAUCUCUAGGCCAUUACUGACGCUGAGGAGCGAAAGCGUGGGGAGCGAACAGG
rnacentral:rRNA from 1 species